ensembl:lncRNA
GAUAGUUUUACUUCUUCCUUUCCGAUUUGGUUUCCUUUUAUUUCCUUUACUUCUCUGACUGCCAUGGCUAGGACUUCCAGAACUGUGUUGAAGAGUAGUGGCGAGAGCGGACAUCCUUGUUCCUGAUUCUGUCAGCUUUUCACCGUUUGAAAAUGAUGUUUGCUGUGGGUUUGUCACAUGUGGCCUUUCUGAUGUUGAGGUAGGUUCCCGUCAUGCCCACUCUCUGAAGGGUUUUUAUCAGAAAUGGGUGUUGGGUUUUGUCAAAGGCUUUUUCCGCGUCUAUGGAGAGGAUCACGUGGUUUUUAUUCUUCCGCUUGUUAAUGUGGUGUAUCACACGGAUGGAUUUGUGGAUAUUGAAGACCCCUUGCAUCCCUGGGAUAAAUCGCACUUGAUCAUGAUGUACGGUCCUUUUAAUGUCGUGUUGGAUGCGGUUUGUUAGUAUUUUGUUGAGAUUUUUUGCAUCUGUGUUCAUCAGUGAAACUGGCCUGUGGUUUUCUUUUUUUUGGUGGUAUCUUUGUCUGGUUUUGGUGUCGGGUGAUGGUGGCCUCAUAGAAUGAGUCUGGGAGUGUCCCUUCCUCUGCAGUUUUUUGGAAUAGUUUCAGAAGGAGAGGUGUUAGCUCUUCUCUGAAACUUUGAUGGGAUUCUCCUGUGAAGCCAUCUGGUCCUGGACGUUUGUUUGUUGGACGUUGUUAAAUCACAGUUUCAGUUUCGGUUCUUGUGAUUGGUCUGUUCAUCUUUUCUAUUUCGUCUUGGUUUUUAGUCUUGGAAGAUUGUGCCUUUCAAAGAAUUUGUCCAUUUCUUGUAGGUUUUCUGUUUGAUUGGCUUGCAUAUAUAGUAGUCUCUUAGGCUCCUUUGUGUUUCUGUGAUGUCUGCUGUUACUGCUCCUUUUUCAUUUCUACUUUUCUUGAUUUGAGUGCUCUCUCUCUCUUUUUCUGGAUAAGUCUGGCUAAGGGUUUAUCGAUUUUGUUGAUCUUUUCAAAGAACCAGCUUUUCGUUUCAUUGAUCUUUUCGAUGGUUUUCUUUGUUUCUAGUUCAUUGAUUUCUGCUCUGAGCUUGAUGAUCUCUUUCCUUCUGCUGACUUUAGGUCUUGUCUGUUCUUCUCUCUCUAGGUGCUUUAGAUGUAAAGUUAGCUUGUUUGUUUGAGCUUUUUCUUGUUUCCUGAGGUGGGCUCGUAUUGCUGCGAACUUUCCUCUUAGAAUGGCUUUUGCCGUAUGUAUCCCAUAGGUUUUGGAGUGUCGUAGCUUUGUUGUCAUUUGCUUGUAGGUAUUUUUUAAUUUCCACUUUGAUUUCUUCAGUGAUCCAUUGGUUGUUUCGUAACAUGUUGUUGAGUCUCCCUGUGUUUGUGUUUUUUGCAGUUUUUUUCUUGUUGUUGAUUUCCAGCCAUAUAGCGUUGAGGUCGGAAAAGAUGCUUGACAUGAUUUCAGUUUUCUUAAAGUUCCCGAGAUUUGAUUUGUAGCCCAGGAUGUGAUCCAUGUUAGAGAGUGCUCCGGGUGCACUUGAGAAGCAUGUGCAUUCUGUUGCUUUUGGAUGGAAUGUCCUAUAAAUAUCUAUUUAGUCCAUCUGGUGUAAUGCAGCAUUCGGGGCCUGUGUUUCCGUAUUGAUUUUCUGUCUGGAUGAUCUGUCCAUAGCUGAAAGUGGGUGUUAACGUCCCCCACUAUUAUUGUGUUAUUGUUGAUCUGUGCUUUUAAGGUUGUUUGUUAGCAGUUGCCUGAUGUAUUGUGGUGAACCUGUGUUGGGUGUGUAGAUGUUUAAAAUGGUUAUAUCUUCUUCUUGGAUUGAUCCUUUGAUCAUUAUGUAGUGACCUUCCUUGUCCCUUAAAAUAGUCUUCAUUUUAAAGUCUAUUUUGUGUGUUAUGAGUAUUGGUACUCCAGCUUUCUUUUGAUUCCCAUUUGCAUGGAACAUUUUCCUCCAUCCUCUCAUUUUCAAUUUGUGUGUGUUCCUAGAAGUGAAGUGGGUCUCUGGAAGACAGCAUAUGUAUGGAUCUUGCUUUUGUAUGCAUUCAGCCGGUCUGUGUCUUUUGGUUGGGGCGUUCAGUCCGUUAACAUUUCGGGUAAUUAUUGAUAUGUAUGUUCUUAUUGCCAUUUUAUUAAUUGCUUUGGAUUUGUUUGUGUUGCUCUUUUUUCUUCCCUUCUUGUUCUCUCCUCUUGUGGUUUGAUGACUGUCUUUAGUGUUGCAUUUGAGUUGAUGUUUCUUAUUUUUUUGUGUAUCAGUUGUAGAUGUUUGGUUUGCACUUAUUCUGAAGUUUUGAUAUGAGUCUCUCUCUAUAUGAGAUAGUUUUAAGUUGUGGGUCUCUUAAUUGCAAGUGCAUCUCCAGUGUCCUGCAUUUGUACGCUGCUCUUCUCAGGAUGUCUGAUUUUGGUGGCCUAAUUGUGCGUGGGUGAUUUUGUAUCUUUACUGUAUGUAUACCUUGACUGGUGAGCCUUGUCAUCUGUGGAAUUUUUGUUUCCUGUUGUGGCCUUUUCUCUUCUGCCUGGAGAAGUUCCUUUAGUAUUUGUUGUAAAGCUGGUUUAGUGUUGCUGAAUUCUCUCAGCCUUUGCUUAUCUGUGAAGCUUUUGAUUUCUCCUUGAAAUCUGCAUGAGAGCCUUGCUGGGGAAAGUAAUCUUGGUUGGCGGUUUUUCCCUUUCAUCACGUUGAGUGUAUCAUGCCACUCCCUUCUGGGCUGCAGAGUUUCAGCUGAAAAAUCUGCCGAUAACCUUAUCGGGGUUCCCUUGUCUGUUAUUUGUUUCUUUUCCCUAGCUGCUUUCAGUAUUUUCUCUCUGUCUUUAAUUUUGGUCCGUUGGGUUAGUAUGUGUCUCCUUGGGUUUCCUCCUCGGGUUUAUUUUAUAUGGUAGCCGUUGCGCUUCCUGGAUUUGAGUGAGGGGUUCCUUUCCCAUGUUGGGGAAGUUUUUGGCUAUUGUCUCUUUGAGUAUUUUUUCUGUCCCCUUCUCUCUCUCUUCUCCUUCUGGCACCCCUAUGAUACGGAUGUUGGUGCGUUUCACGUUGUCCCAGAGUUCUCUGAGACUCUCUUCAUUUGUUUUCGAUCUUUUUUCUCUUUUCUGUUCCCGAUCCGUAAUUUCCACUCGUCUGUCCUCCACCUUGCUUAUUUCUUCUUCUGCCUCCCGUAUUCUGCUGUUAGCUGCGUCUAGUGAAUUUUUUAUUUCAGGUAUUGUAUUUUGCAUCUCUUCUUGUUCACGUUUUCUAUCUUGUAUCUCUUUGGUCAGCGUUUCCUGUAAGUUAUCCGUCUUUGCCUCCAGUUUAUGUCCAACGUCUUGCAUCAUCUUCAGCAUCAACAGGCUCAAGUCUUUUGCCUGGAGGCUGAGAAUCUCCUGAUCACUUAGCUGAUUUUCGGUGGUUUCUUCUUUCGCCCUCAUCUGAGUUACAGUUUUGUGUCUUUUCAUUUCGAUAGUUUUUUGGUGUGGUGAUCUUUUUACAGAUAAUAGAGUUGUAGCCUCUCUUGCUUCUGUUGUCUGCCUCCCUUGUGGCUGAAGUUGGUAUGGGGGCUUGCUGUAGGCUUCUUGAUGGGGGUGGGUGCUGAUGCCUGCCCAUGGGUAGGUGGAGCUGAUUCCUAUCCCUCUGGUGGGUGGCGCUUAGUCUCUGGAUGGGGUUAGCGGCUGCUGUGUGCCUGGGGGGUCUUUAGGCUGCCUGUUUACUGAGGGGCAGGGCUGUGAUCCCACCUGGACUGUUGUUUGCCCUGGGGCUUCUCAGUGCUGAUGAGUGGGGCCAGGUUUUCCCAAAAUGGCCCCCUCCAGAGAAAGGCACUGCUGUUGAAUAUUCCCAAGAGUUCUCCUUCCAAUGUCCUUCCCCCACAACAAGCCACAUUCACCCCUGUUUUCCCAGGAUGUCCUCCACGAACUGCAGUCAAGUUUGACCCAGAUGCCUAUGGAGACUUUGCUUUGCCCUGGGACCCAGUGCACGUGAAAGUCUGUGUGUGCCUUUUAAGAAUGGGGUCUCCGUUUCCCCCAGUCCUGUAGAGCUCCCGCGCAAAGUCCCACCGGUUUCCAAUGCCAGAUGCUCCGGGGGCUCUCUGUCCCAGUGCCGGAGCCCCCCACGUGGGAGUGUGAUGUGGGGCUCAGAGCUCUCACUCCUGUAGGUGAGUCUCUGUGAACCAGUGAGUUUCCAGCCUGUGCAGCUUCCCACCCAGGAGGUAUGGGGUUGUUUAUAUCGUGAAAUCGCCCCUCUUACCUCUUGAUGUGGCCUCCUCUUUGUCUUCUGGAGUAGGAUAUCUUUUUUAAGGUUUCUGGUCCAUUUGAGUGAAGAUUGCUUAGCAUUUAGUUGUAAAUUUUGUUGUUUUUAGGAGAGAAGUUGAGCUCCAGUCCUUCUAUUCUGCCAUCUUAAUCCCAUCU